rnacentral:misc_RNA from 1 species
AACGCAUCUUGCGCUCCUUGGUAUUCCGAGGAGCAUGCCUGUUUGAGUGUCGUGAAUUACUCUCAGUUUCUUACUUUGUUUUGAAACUGGACUUGAAUGCGUGUCGUGGCGAUCGCACACGACUCAUUCUAAAUGCAUUAGCGGUCUGCCCUUGAUCACACAACAAUGUGAUAAGUUAAAAAGCAUUGGUCGUGUUCAAAACAGUGGUGAGACGGCUUCGAACCGUCCGGACAAACGGACAAACAAUCGAUCUCAUUUGACCUCAAAUCAGGUAGGACUACCCGCUGAACUUAA